rnacentral:rRNA from 1 species
UACGUAGGGUGCAAGCGUUAAUCGGAAUCACUGGGCGUAAAGCGUGCGCAGGCGGUUAUGUAAGACAGGUGUGAAAUCCCCGGGCUUAACCUGGGAACUGCAUUUGUGACUGCAUAGCUAGAGUACGGUAGAGGGGGAUGGAAUUCCGCGUGUAGCAGUGAAAUGCGUAGAUAUGCGGAGGAACACCGAUGGCGAAGGCAAUCCCCUGGACCUGUACUGACGCUCAUGCACGAAAGCGUGGGGAGCAAACAGG